AUUUUGGACAAUGGGCGAAAGCCUGAUCCAGCAAUGCCGCGUGAGUGAAGAAGGCCUCCGGGUUGAAAAGCUCUUUUGUCAGGGAAGAAACGGUGAGGGCUAAUAUCCGUUGUUAAUGACGGUAACUGAAGAAUAAGCACCGGCGAACUACGUGCCAGCAGCCGCGGUAAUACGUAGGGUGCAAGCGUUAAUCGGAAUUACUGGGCGUAAAGCGUGCGCAGGCGGUUUUGUAAGUCUGAUGUGAAAUCCCCGGGCUCAACCUGGGAAAUGCAUUGGAGACUGCAAGGCUAGAAUCUGGCAGAGGGGGGUAGAAUUCCACGUGUAGCAGUGAAAUGCGUAGAUAUGUGGAGGAACACCGAUGGCGAAGGCAGCCCCCUGGGUCAAGAUUGACGCUCAUGCACGAAAGCGUGGGGAGCAAACA
rnacentral:rRNA from 1 species